GGUAAUGUGGCUUAGUGGUAGAGUGCUUGCCUAGCAUGUAUGAAGCCCUGGGUUCAAUUCCUCAGUACCA
rnacentral:tRNA from 1 species